CCCUGAUCAGCCCAGUGUUCUAUGCAGCUCUGGCUCUCCCACCUUGAGACACCGGAGAGUAUCUGGGAAGCCUGGACUCUGAAGGGCUGAAGGAGCUCGGGAAGUGGGGCCAAGACCGGGCGGGGGAAAGCCGGGCCGUCCUCGAGAAGCUGUCAGGCUCGUCCUUCUUGGUCCCAGAAGGAAGAACGAGGGCGAUGGGUAGAAGGUGCAGGAAGAAAACCCAGAAGGGAAGGACAUGAGGGAGGAGCAAAGCAGGCAGCCUUCGGAGGCUGGGAGCUCUUCCAGCAGAGGCCGUCCUCCGGGGGAGAGCGGGCUGGGGAGUGGUGCCUCCCAAGGAGAGGAGCGGGGAGGGAGCCGGGAGCCUGAGCGCCCCAGACCCGGUGCAUGGGUCCUCGGCGAUGCUGGCGCAGGAAGGGCCAGGUGUGCAGAGAAGAGCCAGGAGUGCACAGCCGAGUCCGAGCGAGCGGCCCCGGAGUCCCAGCCUCGCCAAGAGGUGCCUGUGCCCGGGGAGGUGAGCGCCAGCCGCAGUCCGAGCCCAGUUCUAGGCUGGAACCCCUCGGGACGCCCAGCUCAGGAGGCUGCCGGACGCCGGGUGCCUGCCACUGACCGGGCCCCCCUCCGGGAAGGCCAGAGGCUGCCUGGGGUCUCCCAGUGGCCGGCUAGCCUGGUCUGGGCAUCCCUGGAAUGACGGGGCCCCCUUCAGGGGCAUAAGGGAGCCGCGGCAGCCUCGUUGGAGGCAGAUGGCCCACAGGAAGACCCGAGUUCAAAUGGUGCCUCACUGCCGGGUUUGGGCUUCAAUGGGAAUCAUCAUCACGCCAGCUGUGAGGAUCACAGCGUCCCUCUCUUCUGCUCUCCUUCUGCCUCAGUAUCCCCAGAGGGAGCUCCUCCGUGUCAAGCAGGGCAGCUUGGCCCCGAAGGGCCCCAGGCUCAGGAGAAGCAGAGGGCCUUGAAUGCCAACCCAAGCUCCUGGGGAUGCUGGUCGCCUGCCUUUAUAGAACACGUUAGGUUUACAAAAUCACUCUGUGUGUUCUUUGGGACUCACACAACUUCUUCGGGGGAGAGGCUACCUCCCCAUUUUACAGGUAAAGAAACUGAGGCACCGAGACAUGUCCAGGGUCAUCGGCCAGUCUGAGGCUCGUCUAACUGGGGUCUUCCUGCUCCUGAGUCCAGAGAGUGCAGAAGCCCUGAAGGUGUGACCUCCGAUGGACCCAGAGACCUGCCGCCUGGGGGACAGGCUGGGCUGCCUCUGAAGGAAGAAAUUGAGGGCAUCCGGAGGGCUGCAGGGCCCCCCCCAGGUCUGAGCUUUGCCUCUGUCGGUCCUCCAGGUGUAUCUCCACUGCCUGACCCUGGUGUGCCCCGGGGGCCCCAGCAUCCCCUGGAGGGAGGCAGUGGGUGAGAGCCCAGGCCAGAGCCCAGCGAACCCGUGGGGCGGCCUCUCAAGUCCUGCCUGAUCCUGGGGCACCAGACGGCUCUGAUCCCAUUGGAGGCAGACAGAGGGCCAACCACCCGGGACCAGGAACCGGCCCUCCCCAAGCAAGAGGCUCCUUCUCCCUCCCAGCCUAGCCAAGGACACUGACCAAGCCCGGAAAACACAUCCACUCAGCCUCCAGAGCAUCCAGGGAAGCUUCACCUUCUCUGCAGAGUUCCGGCAUGGCGGGCAUCACCAACCCGGCUGUCCUGGCCUUGCAGACAAGUUUUCUGAGCGAGGCCCAGAUCUUGGCCCCAUCGUGCUCAAGGCUCCAGGAGGGCUUCCUGAAAGACUGGGGGAGCCCCAGAGGGCCCCAGGAGCCAGCCUGGGCUCAGGACAUCCCUGCCAACCACCCUCCCACAGGAGGGAGGGAACAGCCUGAAGCUUGGCUCUCUAAAGGGCAGCGUCCACAUGGCAGCAGACCUGGAUCGGGGAGAGCUGACUGUGGCAGGGGAAGAGGGGCAGGAAGCUAGGAGGAGGGGUGCACCAAGCCUGGGGCCAGGCUACACAGAGAUGCUGGAGCUGAGGAAUGCGUGAGAACCUGUGAGACCUUCCUCCUCCUAUAGGGAAGAGCCGCCCCUUCCAUCCAGCCUGGUUAGGACUGGCUCUGUCCCUCCUCCUCCUCCUCCUCCUCCCCCCCAGAGGGCACCAUAUGGCCGUGACGAUGGUGAAUGGCAGAAAGGAAAAAUAAAACAUUCCUAAUGCGAGUCUACGUCGGCUCU
rnacentral:lncRNA from 1 species